rnacentral:rRNA from 1 species
GACCCCGCACAAGCAGUGGAGCAUGUGGUUUAAUUCGAAGAUACGCGCAGAACCUUACCAACACUUGACAUGUUCGUCGCGAGCCUAAGAGAUUAGGCUUUUCAGUUUGGCUGGACGAAACACAGGUGCUGCAUGGCUGUCGUCAGCUCGUGUCGUGAGAUGUUGGGUUAAGUCCCGCAACGAGCGCAACCCCCUACUUUUAGUUGCCACCAUUUAGUUGGGCACUUUAAAAGAACUGCCAGUGAUAAGCUGGAGGAAGGUGGGGAUGACGUCAAGUCCUCAUGGCCCUUAUGUGUUGGGCUACACACGUGCUACAAUGGCACUUACAAUGGGAAGCGAAGAGGCGACUCUAAGCUAAUCCCUAAAAUGUGUCUCAGUUCGGAUUGUACUCUGUAACUCGAGUGCAUGAAGCUGGAAUUGCUAGUAAUCGC